UAGGGAAUCUUCCACAAUGGGCGCAAGCCUGAUGGAGCAACACCGCGUGAGUGAAGAAGGGUUUCGGCUCGUAAAGCUCUGUUGUUAGAGAAGAACGUGCGUGAGAGCAACUGUUCACGCAGUGACGGUAUCUAACCAGAAAGUCACGGCUAACUACGUGCCAGCAGCCGCGGUAAUACGUAGGUGGCAAGCGUUAUCCGGAUUUAUUGGGCGUAAAGCGAGCGCAGGCGGUUUGAUAAGUCUGAUGUGAAAGCCUUUGGCUUAACCAAAGAAGUGCAUCGGAAACUGUCAGACUUGAGUGCAGAAGAGGGCAGUGGAACUCCAUGUGUAGCGGUGGAAUGCGUAGAUAUAUGGAAGAACACCAGUGGCGAAGGCGGCUGCCUGGUCUGCAACUGACGCUGAGGCUCGAAAGCAUGGGUAGCGAACAGGAUUA
rnacentral:rRNA from 1 species